UAAUAAGUUGGCCGCAUCGGCGAAUUAGUGCAACAAAGCAUUUUUUUAAGUUUCGUUGGGGGCGUAUUUUUAAGGUGGCCAAAUCGGAAAAUUGCUACAACAAAGCAUCUUUAUUGGGAACAUGAUAUGUUUAAAUUUGUAAACGGGGCAAAGAAAAUUCAAUUCGCCGUGACAUUUAAACUUUUCGGCAAAUUUGCUUAGACCAAUCAGAGUAAGGCGUAUUUAUCAGGUGGCCGCAUCAACCCGGCAGAGAGAAUUUGAUAUCUCAACUCAUUUUCGAAUUCGCCGUGCAAAAAUAUAAACAUCAAAAUAAAUAUUUUAUAAAUUGUG